rnacentral:rRNA from 1 species
GUGGCGAACGGGUGAGUAACACGUGGGUAAUCUGCCCUGUACUCUGGGAUAAGCCUGGGAAACUGGGUCUAAUACCGGAUAUGACCUUUCACCGCAUGGUGGGGGGUGGAAAGUUCCGGCGGUAUGGGAUGAACCCGCGGCCUAUCAGCUUGUUGGUGGGGUAAUGGCCUACCAAGGCGACGACGGGUAGCCGGCCUGAGAGGGUGACCGGCCACACUGGGACUGAGACACGGCCCAGGCUCCUACGGGAGGCAGCAGUGGGGAAUAUUGCACAAUGGGCGAAAGCCUGAUCCAGCAAUGCCGCGUGUGGGAAGAAGGCCUUCGGGUUGUAAACCACUUUUGUACGGAACGAAACGGUCUGCCCUAAUACGGUGGGCUAAUGACGGUACCGUAAGAAUAAGCACCGGCUAACUACGUGCCAGCAGCCGCGGUAAUACGUAGGGUGCGAGCGUUAAUCGGAAUUACUGGGCGUAAAGCGUGCGCA